CGUACGCAUGCGUCAGACCCAUGUGUAUCACAACUUACAAGCAGGUCCGGUUUAGAUAUCUAGUGUGUUGAAAACGAAUUCCGACGUUCUCACAGAAGGUUAUCAGGCGCUUCGAUCAUUUUUAUUAAAUAAGCAAUCUGAUGUGCAUGAAUUUCUCUCUGGAGACAGGUUUCAAAGUUGAAUGUGAGCCUGAUCUUCAUCUGCGUUGCCCGACCGCCGAGACUUUGGAUUCCUGAUCUUCACGCCACGCAUGGAUCGACUGGAACUGCUCUGUACUGGACUGAUAAAGUCGCAGAAACCAAAACAAACAAACUGAUCGGAGAAGACAGAUCGAGUGAUUAAAAAGUGCCCUGAUGAGUGGAUUCACCACGGCUGCACGUGACCAGUUGGAAGUCCUCACUGGUCUGAGUCUUCCGCCACCACAAAGAGGACAAGAGGCCAUUGGGGCUCUGUCACUGUGGCGAUGGAGCCAGCCUCAUACAGCACCACCAAGAUACCCCCCAACCUCUCCAUAAGGACCAGUCAGCCUCAGCCGUCUGUGAGGAGCGCAGCAUACUGAUGUACCAGCUGAAUUCCAAGAGUGACCUGAACAGUGUCUCAUUACUGUUUCAUGCCAAGGCUUCAUAAAAGACUUGUGUUGACUGAGUGUAACUCGGUUGCACCAUGGCACAGUACCUCAGUACACUGUGAAUGUACAGAGGAGACACUCUGGCUGCUCCUACAGGACAGAUGAACUCACACUGUACAGUGGGGUGUGAUGUACAGAGGAGACACUCUGGCCCUAGAUGUGCCCUAGAAAUGGAACUGGUGAAUGAGUGCUUACAUUUGGACGUCGAGAGCUGUCGUGAUUGGUUGGGACGGUUAAACAUCCUGUGUAAUGUGAUUGGCUUCUUUGGAAAUGCCAUGUGAUGAUUGAUGGGAAAUUGAGGCUUCUGGAACACACACUUUUGAUUGGGCCUACACACUCAUUAACUUUUUAUUCAUAGUCAUGCAUUCAGUCUUUCAAUCAGUUAUUCAUGUAGCCAUUUUAAAUUCAGCAGCACCCUUAUCAAAGAAGCGCAGGCAGCAUUUCCACUCCAUAACCAGCCAUUCGAAAACCAGGACUGAGGUACACACGGGCACACAAACAUCCCACUGGUUUACCUCAGUUUUGUGUAUGAAGUUACACCCCAUACGUAAAUUGUACCAAAGAACAGUAAACGUAUAUCUAAAUUUAA